AUGCCAAACUGAUCGAGAUUUAAUUAGUUUAGUACUGGGUUCUACUCUACACUCAUCUUUGCAACUCUUGAUAUUUGACAAGGUGAAAAUCAGCAAUGUUGUCCUCUUAAUGCAAGCUAAGUUGAAUCUAGAGAUCUAGUCGAGAUAAUAAUGAAUCACUGAGUUUAGAUUGCAUUGUAAAGUGCUUUCAAGAAGAUUUUGGAUUUUUGGUAGCAGCCUUGCAUGGUGUAUUACAUCCCGACUUUUCCGGUCAAUUCUCAGCAUUACCAGAAGCAGUCUGGAAGUGCCAACAUGGAUUCUGCAUUGUACAUCUGCAUACCAAUGCAAUCAGUUUGAUUUUGCACAACUCGUGUCUUAGAGAGACCAUGAUCCUACCUCUGCAUUAGGAUUACGAAACCUACACGACUACUUUAAAUACUCAAUACAGCCAAAACCUCCAACACAAAUUGUCCCAACUGGUGCAAGGUUAACAAUUGACAGAGUAUUGCAGCUCUCUCUCUGGAAGAAUUGG